AGGAUUAUAGUUUAAAAACAUUUGAUUUGCAUUCAAAAAUUAUUGAAUUAAUUUCAAUUUAUCUUA
rnacentral:tRNA from 1 species